ACAUAUGCUUAUGUACAUAUUGUUUUUUUUUCUUUUUCUUUUUUUAAACAUACAGUGUUACUGUGUUGUCUCGAAGGUAGUUAUUAUUGCAAUGCAUAUAUUUUAAUCCAAUUCUGUUUUAUAUGUGUAUAUGGCGCUUCUUAUAAAGGAAUAAACUCUGUUAUUGCUAAUGUUGGUACUAUUGCUGAUUUUACAUUUAGGUGGUUUACGUUUGUCACUAUUUUAUCGUUAAUUGUGCUGUACGUUUCUUCGUUCUUUGUGGUGAACAUUUUUAUUGCCAGUUGUGUUGAACAGUUGUUUGUUUUAUUUGCUGUACAUUUGUUUGUUUUAUUUGCUGUACAUUUUUUGUUUCCUGUAGUGUAUAUUUCUUCGUUCCCUGUAGUGUAUAUUUCUUCGUUCUUUGUAGUGUAUAUUUCUUCGCUCCCUGUAGUGUAUAUUUCUUCGUUCCCUGUAGUGUAUAUUUCUUCGUUCCCUAUAGUGUAUAUUUAUUCAUUCCAUAUAGUGUAUAUAUAUUUUUUUUUUUUAUGUAGUGUAUAUUUAUUCAUUCCAUGUAGUGUAUAUUUCUUC
rnacentral:lncRNA from 1 species